rnacentral:lncRNA from 1 species
AGUGGUGGAAGACUGAAGAUCUGUAGGAUUUCCUCUUUGCCAGUGUAUUUUUAAGUAGAGAGAUGUUUUAUUUAUCUUCGUAUUUAUAAAAUACAUCUGGAGAAUAAAAUCACAUCUGGUUCAUGGAUUUCCUCCAUGGAGAUGUUCCAAAUUCAGUGUCAAGAUUAGAGCUUAUACUCAUGGGUUUGCAGAAUCUUGUGUGGAAUUUGAAGUAUUUUGUUUGGAAGUAGUUGGGGGAAACAAUUGAUUCAAAUGUUUUUGUUGAGCUCUAAUUUUAGAUGUAUUUCUCCCUCAUUAAAAUUAAAAACACUUUGUGCUUUAUAGUAUAAUCAAGGCACAUUCAUAGUAUAAACACUGUUUAUAUUUGACAAGCUGUUUUAGAUGACAGUUCUCAACCUAGUUUUAUGACACAGAGAGAAAUUAAAUUGUUAAACUUACCAGAAUGUGAUCAUUGGUAACCAUAAACACAAUUAGAGGUUUAUUUCUCAUGCAUAGUGUGUAGACUCAAUUAUUCUGUUACACUUUCAUGAUGCUCUAUUCCAAAGCAGCAACAGUCAGUUUUUAAUUGUUGUGUUCUGAAUGUCUUCCCAAAUGACAUGAAUAAUUUGAAUUCUCAGAAUAUGAUGAUUGCACAGAGUGUUUUAGUCUCUUACAAUGGCUGACAAACAUCUUUGUGCUGAACAGAAUCAGUCCCUGGAGUAGCAUAAAGUAGAAGCAUUUAUGGGCUCAGUCCAAGAAGCAUGCGAUCUAAAAAUAAUAUUGUCAAACUUUUAUGAAUUAUUUGUCUUAUGCAUUGAGAUUGCCAGAUCCAACUGCUAGUCAUGGGAGUUAAACUUGAUACACUGGAACAAAUGGGUGUUGCUUAGUAAAUCUCCUCAUCAAAGAUGCUUGAUCUUUCUCAAAGAUUGUUUUUUUAGUCCUUUAAAGUGAUAUAUUUUUAACAUGAAAUAACAACAUAAAGUUUAUUAAUAAAUUACAUUUAUUUGCUUUACUGUGUUUAACUUAGCUUUCAGUGGAAUAGGAGACAUGCAUUUUUCAUAUGUGUUUAAUUUAGCAGUUUCUAAACAAUACAGCAGGAAUUUUUGUGUUUGAGCAGAUUUUCCAGUGCAUUAUUAAAUCCUAAUUAUUAAACGUCUGGGAAGAGACCCUGAGAGUUGUGAGAGUUCUGUGGGAGUUCAUACUUCUCUCUCCUUUCCUUUUCCUUCCCUCAUAGUAAUUAUGAGGCAAAAUUUUUUCUUGGUAAAUGAGAAUAAAAGUGGAUACACUGAGUUCCUUGGUCCUGCGUGUGCUAGUUUUAAAGUCUGAUUUGGUGUUCUCUUUUAAAAGUUUUCUGUUUGCCUUGGCAACUUUGCUGGAUGUUCUGUCACUUCUCGGUUUUGCUUAGCCAACCUUCCCUGUCUACACGCAUCACUUAGUAGUUAGCACAGGCAGUUGUGUGAGUUCGUGCUUCUGGGGUUCACUGACUGCACAAACAUUCUCCAAGAAUCCAUGUAUGUCACUUUGGGGACAAACAUUAAGCUUUCUAAUUUAAAUUGCCUUCCUCUUUGGGGUAGCCACUGUCAGUCUGCCAUUCAUUGAAUUUAUAACUAUAUUGUUCUCUUGUUUCUCAACUCCAACCUUUUGUGGUAGGGAGGGGUAUUGCUUGUAGCCCAGGCUGUCAUCCUGAAAUUUGUAGCCCAGGCUAUCAUCCUGAAAUUCAUAAUCCUACCAACUCAGUGUCCUGAGUGCUGGGGUCAUAGAUUCCUCAGUUUCUACAUG